rnacentral:rRNA from 1 species
GACGUAGGGCGCGAGCGUUGUCCGGAUUUAUUGGGCGUAAAGAGUACGUAGGUGGCUUGUUAAGAUACAUCUGAAAGGUGACAGCUCAACUGUCAAUGGUGGUGUAAGACUGGCAGGCUUGAGGCAAGCAGAAGAGUGUGGAACUCCGAGUGUAGCGGUGGAAUGCGUAGAGAUUCGGAAGAACACCCAUGGCGAAGGCAGCACUCUGGGCUUGAACCGCAAGGUGAACCUGACACUGAGGUACGAAAGCCAGGGGAGCGAACGGG